GACGAACGCUGGCGGCGUGCUUAACACAUGCCAGUCGAACGGAAAGGCCCUGCUUUUGUGGGGUGCUCGAGUGGCGAACGGGUGAGUAACACGUGAGUAACCUGCCCUUGACUUUGGGAUAACUUCAGGAAACUGGGGCUAAUACCGGAUAGGAGCUCCUGCUGCAUGGUGGGGGUUGGAAAGUUUCGGCGGUUGGGGAUGGACUCGCGGCUUAUCAGCUUGUUGGUGGGGUAGUGGCUUACCAAGGCUUUGUCGGGUAGCCGGCCUGAGAGGGUGACCGGCCCCAAUGGGACUGAGGUACGGGCCAGACUCCUACGGGAGGCAACGGGGGGGAAUAAUGGACAAUGGGCGGGAGGCCUGAGCAGCAACGCCGGGGGGGGGAAGACGGCCUUCGGGGUGUAAAACGGCUUCCCCUUUGACGGAGCGUUAAUGACGGUAAUGGGUAAAGAAGCACCGGCUAACUACGUG
rnacentral:rRNA from 1 species